rnacentral:rRNA from 1 species
UACGUAGGGUGCAAGCGUUAAUCGGAAUUACUGGGCGUAAAGCGUGCGCAGGCGGUUUUGUAAGACUGACGUGAAAUCCCCGGGCUCAACCUGGGAAUGGCGAUGGUGACUGCAAGGCUAGAGUUUGGCAGAGGGGGGUAGAAUUCCACGUGUAGCAGUGAAAUGCGUAGAUAUGUGGAGGAACACCGAUGGCGAAGGCAGCCCCCUGGGUCAAAACUGACGCUCAGGCACGAAGGCGUGGGGAGCAAACAGG